AAGCGCUUGUGACCAGACUUGCGUCCGGUGAAUCACCCAGCUCUCGCGGCUGGGGCACUUCGCCGGCACAGGCCAGCAUCAGCUUGCCGUCGGGGACAAAAGCUUCAGGAACGUAGCUCUCUUCGGGGAGUGUUAUAGCCCACCGUGUAAUACCCUGGGGGGGACUGAGGUUCGCGCAUCUGCAAGGAUGCUGGCGUAAUGGUCAUCAACGA
rnacentral:rRNA from 1 species